CAGCAGCCACGGGAAAACGGAGGGUGCAAGCGUUAUCCGGAUUUAUUGGGUUUAAAGGGUCCGUAGGCGGAUCUGUAAGUCAGUGGUGAAAUCUCACAGCUUAACUGUGAAACUGCCAUUGAUACUGCAGGUCUUGAGUAAAUUUGAAGUGGCUGGAAUAAGUAGUGUAGCGGUGAAAUGCAUAGAUAUUACUUAGAACACCGAUUGCGAAGGCAGGUCACUAAGAUUUAACUGACGCUGAUGGACGAAAGCGUGGGGAGCGAACAGGAUUAGAUACCCGGGUAGUCCCUGUCUCUUAUAC
rnacentral:rRNA from 1 species